UACAUGCAAGUCGAGCGGUAAGGCUUUCACAGAUUAUUUAACCAGAUAAGUUCUUCGGAAAACUGUUUGCAGCGAUGAUUCCCCGGCUAGGGAAUCAGAGUUGAAUAAUGCGUGAAAGUACACGAGCGGCGGACGGCUGAGUAACACGUAGGAACGUACCCCAAAGUGAGGGAUAAGCACCGGAAACGGUGUCUAAUACCGCAUGUGAUCUUCGGAUUAAAGCUUCGGCGCUUUGGGAACGGCCUGCGCAUGAUUAGCUUGUUGGUGAGGUAAAAGCUCACCAAGGCGACGAUCAUUAGCUGGUCUGAGAGGAUGAUCAGCCAGACUGGGACUGAGAACGGCCCAGACUCCUACGGGAGGCAGCAGUAGGGAAUUUCCACAAUGGACGAAAGUCUGAUGGAGCAACGCCGCGUGCAGGAUGAAGGGUUUCGGCUCGUAAACUGCUUUUAUCUGUGAAGAUUAUGACGGUAGCAGAUGAAUAAGGAUCGGCUAACUCCGUG
rnacentral:rRNA from 1 species